UACGUAGGGGGCAAGCGUUGUCCGGAUUUACUGGGCGUAAAGAGCGUGUAGGCGGCCAAGCAGGUCCGUUGUGAAAACUGGAGGCUUAACCUCCAGACGUCGACGGAAACCGCGUGGCUAGAGUCCGGAAGAGGAGAGUGGAAUUCCUGGUGUAGCGGUGAAAUGCGCAGAUAUCAGGAAGAACAUCGGUGGCGAAGGCGCUCUGCUGGACCAUAACUGACACUCAGGGGCGAAAGCUAGGGGAGCGAAUGGG
rnacentral:rRNA from 1 species